AGCUCACCGACCUGCUGGGAGCAUCCCAUGCCCCUGGGGAUAAAGAAGCCAAACGCCUGCUGGAGCGAGCUGACUGAGGGAUUGCUGCUGGAUGGGCCAUAGCACCGUCUCCAGGCUGCAUGCCCUGGAACCUGUUGGUGGCACCGUGAGAACCUCCAUCCUUGGCUGGAAAUGACAAUGUGAAGGCAAGCAGGAAAGAAGACGCCUUAAAAUGAACCUUUUUGGCUCAUAUUUUUGGUGCUUGGGCAUCCCCACAGCACCCUCCAUGCCCUGGGCAUGCAGGCUUUCAGGCUUUUCCCAUCAUGGCUCAUGGUCAACCGUUGUUGGUCAGCUGUUGGUCACUGGCCUUCUUGCCUACAAGGGCACACUGCUGGCUUGUGGUCAACCGUUGUCCCACCACUGGUCACCUGGGACCUCCAGGUCCUUCCCCACGCAGAUCCUCACCAGGAUCUCAUGGAACAGCCCUGUGAGCUCUGCUCUGAUCUCCACAGAUCCAGCACCAAGUCUCUCAGAUGGCCACGGCCGGGUUGGUGCCUGUGAGCAUCGCUCCCAGGGAGCAGCAGCCAGGGAACAGCAGGGGAGAGAACCCAGCAAGCUGGAAAACCAAGGCCAGAAGCAGGGGGAGAUGAGAA